ensembl:lncRNA
GAUUAAUGGAGGAGGAAUAGAGGGUUACGGUACAGAGUUGAGGGACUUAAUGUCCUCUAAUCAUGUCCCUUCAUCAACACUAUGUCCUGUAUAGAAGAACAGUUCCCUUUAUAGGACAGGGUUUUGCUGCAGUGUGUGUGUGUGUGUGUGUGUGUGUAGGUGUGUGUGUGUGUGUGUAGGUGUGUGUGUGUGUGUGUGUGUGUGUGUGUGUGUGUGUGUGUGUGUGUGUGUGUGUGUGUGUGUGUGUGUGUGUAGGUGUGUGUGUGUGUGUGUGUGUGUGUGUGUGUGUGUGUGUGUGUGUGUGUGUGUGUGUGUGUGUGUGUGUAGGUGUGUGUGUGUGUGUGUGUGUGUGUGUGUGUGUGUGUGUGUGUGUGUGUGUGUGUGUGUGUGUGUGUGUGUGUGUGUGUGUGUGUGUAGGUGUGUGUGUGUGUGUGUGUGUGUGUGUGUGUGUGUGUGUGUGUGUGUGUGUGUGUAGGUGUGUGUGUGUGUGUGUGUGUAGGUGUGUGUGUGUGUGUGUGUGUGUGUGUGUGUGUGUGUGUGUGUGUGUGUGUGUGUGUGUGUGUGUGUGUGUGUGUGUGUGUGUGUGUGUGUGUGUGUGUGUGUGUGUGUGUGAAUAUGUGGAACUAAAUGUUUUGUAAUGAACAGUUCCCCUUUAUAGAACAGUGUUUCGGGGGGACUGCUGCUGAUUGGAGGACG